GUCCUACAUCCACAAGAUUUGAGUGGUCGCUUACUUUGAGGGUAAGGUAGGACAU
rfam:Lactobacillus salivarius TCC118 plasmid pMP118, complete sequence.